GGGCCCGUAGCUUAGUGGUAGAGUGCCGGGCUCAUAACCCGGUGGUCCUGGGUUCGAUCCCCAGCGGGCCCACCA
rnacentral:tRNA from 1 species